rnacentral:rRNA from 1 species
CAGCAGCCACGGUAAUACGGAGGGUGCAAGCGUUAAUCGGAAUUACUGGGCGUAAAGCGUGCGUAGGCGGCUUUGUAAGUUAGAGGUGAAAGCCUGGAGCUUAACUCCAGAAUUGCCUUUAAGACUGCAUCGCUUGAAUCCAGGAGAGGUGAGUGGAAUUCCGAGUGUAGAGGUGAAAUUCGUAGAUAUUCGGAAGAACACCAGUGGCGAAGGCGGCUUACUGGCUCAUUCUAGACGCUGAGGUGCGAAAGCGUGGGGAGCAAACAGGAUUAGAGACCCCGGUAGUCCCUGUCUCUUAUAC